rnacentral:rRNA from 1 species
CAGUCGCCGCGGGAAUACGUAGGGUGCAAGCGUUAAUCGGAAUUACUGGGCGUAAAGCGUGCGCAGGCGGUUCGUUAAGACAGAUGUGAAAUCCCCGGGCUUAACCUGGGAACUGCAUUUGUGACUGGCGGGCUAGAGUAUGGCAGAGGGGGGUAGAAUUCCACGUGUAGCAGUGAAAUGCGUAGAGAUGUGGAGGAAUACCGAUGGCGAAGGCAGCCCCCUGGGCCAAUACUGACGCUCAUGCACGAAAGCGUGGGGAGCAAACAGGAUUAGAUACCCCGGUAGUCCCUGUCUCUUAUAC